rnacentral:rRNA from 1 species
UAGCCUACGGGGGGCAGCAGUGAGGAAUAUUGGUCAAUGGACGCAAGUCUGAACCAGUCAUGCCGCGUGCAGGAAGACGGCUCUAUGAGUUGUAAACUGCUUUUGUACGAGGGUAAACGCAGAUACGUGUAUCUGUCUGAAAGUAUCGUACGAAUGAGGAUCGGCUAACUCCGUGCCAGCAGCCGCGGUACUACGGAGGAUUCAAGCGUUAUCCGGAUUUAUUGGGUUUAAAGGGUGCGUAGGCGGUCGGAUAAGUUAGAGGUGAAAUCCCGAGCCUCAACUUCGGACUUGCCUCUGCUCCUGGU